rnacentral:rRNA from 1 species
GGGUCAGGAGGUUGGUCGUGACACCGGUACGUACUGGUCUCACUGAUUCCUCCUUCCUGAAGAACCGUAAUGCCAUUAAUUUGGUGUUGCGGGGAAACAGGACUGUUACUUCGAAAAAUUAGAGUGUUUAAAGCAAGCUAACGCUUGAAUACAUUAGCAUGGAAUAAUGAAAUAGGACGAUCGAUCCUAUUUUGUUGGUUUCUAGGAUUGACGUA